CAAAAAGUUUGCCUUCAGUCUGGAGGGGGGGGGGGUCAAAAAAGUUUUCAAUCCUUAUUUUCCCCAUUUCCCCCCCCCCUUCCCCAUAAAUAAUGACCAAUCCCCUAGUUAAAAAGUUUAAGAGUAAUGUCUAGAUAUAAAAUAAAAUCCUAAACUAUCUUUUGAGUCAACAGACAUUGUCCAGUCAGAAGUGUUCACUGACCGAACAAACCUUAGAUUGCUGGUCAAGCUGUUUGCAACAACUCCAGGUAAGGUAAGAAAUAUGUCAUUGUAUAAUUUUAUAUUGUUCUGAAUUGAAAUUGCCAUCUACAAAACCUUUCAACAUUCAGUUAGAAAUGUACUUAUAAUGGGUGUCAUCAAAGUGUGCAAACACGUCAAGAAUUUGUAUCAUGCCCACACCAACAAAUGUUGAUGGACACACCUACAUAUU